rnacentral:lncRNA from 1 species
AAUAAUUCUACAACUAGUCUAGGCAUGCAGCAGAUCAAUCUUAUGAAUUAAUUAAAUUUUAUUUUUUAUUUUUUGAUCUGAAUAUAAUAUUUAUAAUAUCAAAAAAUUAGAGAAUAAAUUAGAUCUAAUUUAUAUUUUAAUCAUAUUAAAAUAUAAAACUUCAAGACUAUUCAUAGUUUAAACUAUUCCUAGUCUAGUCAUGCAUUUCAUACUUGUUAGAUCUACUAAGAUUUAAUUUUAAAUUUUUUGAUUUUAGAUCCAAUCACAUCUGAUGUGACAUUUGAAAUCCAUUAAUAUCAAAUAAAUAAAAAUAAAAAUCAGAUCUAAAAUAGAUCUGAAAUAGAACCAUCAACCUGGCUCUGAUACCAGUUGAAGGAAAAACUGGCUUCUUCCUUGUAGGAUCUUCCAGAUCUAAUGAGAUCUGGGGUAGAAUAUUUUAAAUAAAAAUUAUCUUACAAUAUUUUAAAUCUAAGAUCUAUUAGAUUUGAUUCUUAUUAUCUGAUAUUUAAUCUAAAAUUAAAUCUAAAACUUGAAGAUUAGUGAAAUACCUCUAGCGUAACUAGAUUAUCUUGUAGAUGAUCGCAACAAUGCCCG